CCGAAACCGGUGAUCUAGCCAUGGGCAGGUUGAAGGUUGGGUAACACUAACUGGGGACCGAACCGACUAAUGUUGAAAAAAUUAGCGGAUGACUUGUGGCUGGGGGUGAAAGGCCAAUCAAAACCGGGGAGAUAGCUGGUUCUCCCCGAAAGCUAUUUAGGUAGCGCCUCGGACGAACACCUACGGGGGUAGAGCACUGUUAAGGCUAGGGGGUCAUCCCGACUUACCAACCCUUUGCAAACUCCGAAUACCGUAGAGUGCUAUCCGGGAGACACACGGCGGGUGCUAACGUCCGUCGUGAAGAGGGAAACAACCCAGACCGCCAGCUAAGGUCCCAAAGUCAUGGUUAAGUGGGAAACGAUGUGGGAAGGCUUAGACAGCUAGGAUGUUGGCUUAGAAGCAGCCAUCAUUUAAAGAAAGCGUAAUAGCUCACUAGUCGAGUCGGCCUGCGCGGAAGAUGUAACGGGCUAAACCAUGCACCGAAGCUGCGGCAAUGACGCUUAGGCGUUAUUGGGUAGGGGAGCGUUCUGUAAGCGGUUGAAGGUGUACUGUGAGGUAUGCUGGACGUAUCAGAAGUGCGAAUGCUGACAUAAGUAACGAUAAAGCGGGUGAAAAGCCCGCUCGCCGGAAGACCAAGGGUUCCUGUUCAACGUUAAUCGGAGCAGGGUGAGUCGACCCCUAAGGCGAGGCUGAAAAGCGUAGUCGAUGGGAAACGGGUUAAUAUUCCCGUACUUGUGGUAACUGCGAAGGGGGACGGAGAAAGUUAGGCUAUCCGGGCGACGGUUGUCCCGGUUUAAGCGUGAAGGUGGAAAGACUAGGCAAAUCCGGUCUUUCAUUAACACUGAGGCGUGAUGACGAAGCACUACGGUGCUGAAGUAGCUGAUACUACGCUUCCAGGAAAAGCCUCUAAGCAUCAGGUUACCAGAAAUCGUACCCCAAACCGACACAGGUGGUCAGGUAGAGAAUACUCAGGCGCUUGAGAGAACUCGGGUGAAGGAACUAGGCAAAAUGGUGCCGUAACUUCGGGAGAAGGCACGCUGACGGUAGGUGAAGUCCCUUGCGGAUGGAGCUGAAGUCAGUCGAAGAUACCAGCUGGCUGCAACUGUUUAUUAAAAACACAGCACUGUGCAAACACGAAAGUGGACGUAUACGGUGUGACGCCUGCCCGGUGCCGGAAGGUUAAUUGAUGGGGUUAGCGAAAGCGAAGCUCUUGAUCGAAGCCCCGGUAAACGGCGGCCGUAACUAUAACGGUCCUAAGGUAGCGAAAUUCCUUGUCGGGUAAGUUCCGACCUGCACGAAUGGCGUAAUGAUGGCCAGGCUGUCUCCACCCGAGACUCAGUGAAAUUGAAAUCGCUGUGAAGAUGCAGUGUACCCGCGGCAAGACGGAAAGACCCCGUGAACCUUUACUAUAGCUUGACACUGAACAUUGAGCCUUGAUGUGUAGGAUAGGUGGGAGGCAUUGAAACGUGAACGCCAGUUUGCGUGGAGCCGACCUUGAAAUACCACCCUUUAAUGUUUGAUGUUCUAACGUUGUCCCGUAAUCCGGGAUACGGACAGUGUCUGGUGGGUAGUUUGACUGGGGCGGUCUCCUCCUAAAGAGUAACGGAGGAGCACGAAGGUUAGCUAAGCAUGGUCGGACAUCAUGCGGUUAGUGCAAAGGCAGAAGCUAGCUUAACUGCGAGACGGACAGGUCGAGCAGAUACGAAAGUAGGUCUUAGUGAUCCGGUGGUUCUGAAUGGAAGGGCCAUCGCUCAACGGAUAAAAGGUACUCCGGGGAUAACAGGCUGAUACCGCCCAAGAGUUCAUAUCGACGGCGGUGUUUGGCACCUCGAUGUCGGCUCAUCACAUCCUGGGGCUGAAGUUGGUCCCAAGGGUAUGGCUGUUCGCCAUUUAAAGUGGUACGCGAGCUGGGUUUAGAACGUCGUGAGACAGUUCGGUCCCUAUCUGUCGUGGGCGUUGGAUGAUUGAGGGGGGCUGCUCCUAGUACGAGAGGACCGGAGUGGACGCAUCUCUGGUGUUCCGGUUGUCACGCCAGUGGCAUUGCCGGGUAGCUAAAUGCGGAAGAGAUAAGCGCUGAAAGCAUCUAAGCGCGAAACUUGCCCCGAGAUGAGUCAUCCCUGAGGCUUUAAGCCUCCUAAAGGGUUGUUGGAGACUACGACGUAGAUAGGCAGGGUGUGUAAGCGUAGCGAUACGUUGAGCUAACCUGUACUAAUUGCCCGUGAGGCUUAACCAU
rnacentral:rRNA from 1 species